GACGAACGCUGGCGGCGUGCUUAACACAUGCAAGUCGUACGGUAAGGCCCUUUCGGGGGUACACGAGUGGCGAACGGGUGAGUAACACGUGAGUAACCUGCCCACAACUUUGGGAUAACGCUAGGAAACUGGUGCUAAUACUGGAUAUGUGCUCCUGCUGCAUGGUGGGGGUUGGAAAGCUCCGGCGGUUGUGGAUGGACUCGCGGCCUAUCAGCUUGUUGGUGGGGUAGUGGCCUACCAAGGCGGCGACGGGUAGCCGGCCUGAGAGGGUGACCGGCCACAUUGGGACUGAGAUACGGCCCAGACUCCUACGGGAGGCAGCAGGGGGGAAUAUUGCACAAUGGGCGCAAGCCUGAUGCAGCAACGCCGCGUGCGGGAUGACGGCCUUCGGGUUGUAAAACGCUUUCAGCAGGGACGAAGCUUUUUGUGACGGUACCUGCAGAAGAAGCACCGGCUAACUACGUG
rnacentral:rRNA from 1 species